GACGAACGCUGGCGGCGUGCUUAACACAUGCAAGUCGAACGGAAAGGCCCUGCUUUUGUGGGGUGCUCGAGUGGCGAACGGGUGCGUAACACGUGAGUAACCUGCCCUUGACUUUGGGAUAACUUCAGGAAACUGGGGCUAAGACCGUAUCGGAGCCCCUGCAGCAUGGUGGGGGUUGGAAAGUUUCGGCGGGUGGGGAUGGACUCGCGGCUUAUCAGCUUGUUGGUUGGGUAGUGGCUUACCAAGGGUGUGACGGGUAGCCGGCAUGGGAGGGUGGCCGGCGACAUUGGGACUGAGGGACGGCCCAGACGCCUACGGGAGGCAGCGGUGGGGAAUAUUGCACAGUGGGCGGAAGCCUGAUGCAGCAACGCUGCGUGCGGGAUGACGGCCUGCUGGUUGUGAACCGCUUUCGCCUGUGACGAAGCGUGAGUGACGGUAAUGGGUAAAGAAGCACCGGCUAACUACGUG
rnacentral:rRNA from 1 species